UAGCACAGAGAGCUUGCUCUCGGGUGACGAGCGGCGGACGGGUGAGUAAUGUCUGGGAAACUGCCUGAUGGAGGGGGAUAACUACUGGAAACGGUAGCUAAUACCGCAUAAUGUCGCAAGACCAAAGUGGGGGACCUUCGGGCCUCAUGCCAUCAGAUGUGCCCAGAUGGGAUUAGCUAGUAGGUGGGGUAACGGCUCACCUAGGCGACGAUCCCUAGCUGGUCUGAGAGGAUGACCAGCCACACUGGAACUGAGACACGGUCCAGACUCCUACGGGAGGCAGCAGUGGGGAAUAUUGCACAAUGGGCGCAAGCCUGAUGCAGCCAUGCCGCGUGUGUGAAGAAGGCCUUCGGGUUGUAAAGCACUUUCAGCGGGGAGGAAGGCGUUAAGGUUAAUAACCUUGGCGAUUGACGUUACCCGCAGAAGAAGCACCGGCUAACUCCGUGCCAGCAGCCGCGGUAAUACGGAGGGUGCAAGCGUUAAUCGGAAUUACUGGGCGUAAAGCGCACGCAGGCGGUCUGUCAAGUCGGAUGUGAAAUCCCCGGGCUCAACCUGGGAACUGCAUUCGAAACUGCCAAUCUAGAGUAUCGGAGAGGAAAGUGGAAUUCCUAGUGUAGCGGUGAAAUGCGUAGAUAUUAGGAAGAACACCAGUGGCGAAGGCGACUUUCUGGACGAAAACUGACGCUGAGGCGCGAAAGCC
rnacentral:rRNA from 1 species